AUGCGGCAGCUACACAUGCAGUCGAACGGUAGUCACAGGGAGAGCUUGCUCCCUGGGUGACGAGUGGCGGACGGGUGAGUAAUGUCUGGGGAUCUGCCCGAUGGAGGGGGAUAACUACUGGAAACGGUAGCUAAUACCGCAUAACGUCGCAAGACCAAAGUGGGGGACCUUCGGGCCUCACACCAUCGGAUGAACCCAGAUGGGAUUAGCUAGUAGGUGGGGUAACGGCUCACCUAGGCGACGAUCCCUAGCUGGUCUGAGAGGAUGACCAGCCACACUGGAACUGAGACACGGUCCAGACUCCUACGGGAGGCAGCAGUGGGGAAUAUUGCACAAUGGGCGCAAGCCUGAUGCAGCCAUGCCGCGUGUAUGAAGAAGGCCUUCGGGUUGUAAAGUACUUUCAGCGGGGAGGAAGGGAUGAGGGUUAAUAACCUUCGUCAUUGACGUUACCCGCAGAAGAAGCACCGGCUAACUCCGUGCCAGCAGCCGCGGUAAUACGGAGGGUGCAAGCGUUAAUCGGAAUUACUGGGCGUAAAGCGCACGCAGGCGGUUUGUUAAGUCAGAUGUGAAAUCCCCGGGCUCAACCUGGGAACUGCAUUUGAAACUGGCAAGCUUGAGUCUCGUAGAGGGGGGGUAGAAUUCCAGGUGUAGCGGUGAAAUGCGUAGAGAUCUGGAGGAAUACCGGUGGCGAAGGCGGCCCCCUGGACGAAGACUGACGCUCAGGUGCGAAAGCGUGGGGAGCAAACAGGAUUUAGAUACCCUGGUAGUCCACGCCGUUAAAGAUGUCGACUUGGAGGUUGUGCCCUUGAGGCGUGGCUUCCGGAGCUAACGCGUUAAGUCGACCGCCUGGGGAGUACGGCCGCAAGGUUAAAACUCAAAUGAAUGACGGGGGCCCGCACAAGCGGUGGAGCAUGUGGUUUAAUUCGAUGCAACGCGAAGAACCUUACCUGGCCUUGACAUCCACGGAAUUCGGCAGAGAUGCCUUAGUGCCUUCGGGAACCGUGAGACAGGUGCUGCAUGGCUGUCGUCAGCUCGUGUUGUGAAAUGUUGGGUUAAGUCCCGCAACGAGCGCAACCCUUAUCCUUUGUUGCCAGCGAGUAAUGUCGGGAACUCAAAGGAGACUGCCGGUGAUAAACCGGAGGAAGGUGGGGAUGACGUCAAGUCAUCAUGGCCCUUACGGCCAGGGCUACACACGUGCUACAAUGGCGCAUACAAAGAGAAGCGACCUCGCGAGAGCAAGCGGACCUCAUAAAGUGCGUCGUAGUCCGGAUCGGAGUCUGCAACUCGACUCCGUGAAGUCGGAAUCGCUAGUAAUCGUAGAUCAGAAUGCUACGGUGAAUACGUUCCCGGGCCUUGUACACACCGCCCGUCACACCAUGGGAGUGGGUUGCAAAAGAAGUAGGUAGCUUAACUCUUCGCUCGGGAUCUUAGCACUUGGAUCG
rnacentral:rRNA from 1 species